rnacentral:rRNA from 1 species
CAGCGGCUUUGGCUUUCGUGUGGUUCACGAUGUUUGAGACUUUGGUCUUGCGCACGCGUCCACUGCGUUAUGUCCAGAGACGUCGGCGUGCACUUCUCCCCUAGUAGGACGUCGUGACCCGUUGGGUGUUGGUUUACGGUCUGGGUGGUUGCCUGUUCUGUCGCAUUUACUGCGCACGGAGCAGACCCCCGUGUACCCGACCAACUGCCCGGCGGUACUCGUACGGUAUCGGGCCGCACUUAGGUGCGUCGGGCCCGUCGCAAGCGAGAUCAGUGUUACCCGGAGGUGCGGACCUAGUGCCGUCCCCAGGCCUGGUCAGCUGUUGGUCGGCGGUGAUCUCGGACAGGCUCAUACCGGUCGACGACGCUACUGCUUUG